CGUUAUUUUAAAGACACAAACAACAGACGAACACUUCAGAAGGGGAAACUGAACAAAAGAACCCAUCCCAUCUCGCCCAGAUGCAGAGCUCUGUAACCCCGGACCAUGGGGGUGAGGCUGUGCCAGUGAGGAGGGUGCAGGGGAGGACAUUGGGGUGGGAGGCCAGCCUCCUCUACUCACGUUCUGUGAUAUUUUGAGGGAAUUUCACUUUUCAGAGGGAAAUAAGAAGAGCACUUGUUAGCACUGGAAGGGGAGGCUGGUAGAGCCGGGGUGUUCUGAAGGGCAAGGAGUGUUCUGGUAGCUUCCAUGGAUGGCCUCCCACUGUGCUCAUUUCGACUGUUCAUGGGUGCAAUAAUUGUCAUUUCUUGAGAGUUAGAAGAAGCUGACAGUUUUGUGGUUCAUUGCGUGGAGCCUGCACUUAUCUGGGCUGCACGAACAGCUGCAUAGCCACGGGGCUGCUUUCCAGUGUAUGAAUACAGCAUAAGUAAUGCAGAGGGAACUAAGCAAGGAAGGCUAAAACGGCCUGUUUUCUCUUCCUUUCAAAUUAAAAAUGCAAGACGUAUGUUCUGAGUCAGAGAAAAUCAGGCAGAAGCUCCAAAUGAACAAGGCUGAUGCUCUCAAUGAAUUACACCGUUCUGAUGAAUAAGGCUGCCAGCUUGGAGUACCGGACCCUUGACAAAAAGUGGCAGCGGCUGUCAGACCUCACCGUGAGAAAUUACCCAAGGUCCGCCAAGAAAACCACUCAAAAGAACCGUCUUACGCAGCAGGUGAGCAAGAACUUGGACAAAUAUCACCAUUUCCAGAGCAUUCCUGGCCACUUCCAGCACAGCCCUGUCACUGCCUUUCCUUCUGUCUCAUUUUGCUGCUGAGGGGCUGUCUGGUUCUUAUUCCAUGCUUAGAGUUGUUCUUCAUUUUUUCUGGGUUUGAGCGGUUUUUAUUUUGAUAAAUUCUUUCUUGAUCUGUUUUAAAUACACCCAAUGGAAGUUUCUAUGUUCUAUAAACAUUUAGAGUGGCUUUUGAAAUGCAAUUUGAUGCGAUCUGUUUUUAUAGUUAACUUUUAUUAUGUUUAGCACCAGUAUUAUCCUUUGAAAUAAAAAUAAUCUUACAGAGUAGGUAACAAACAACUGGAGACUGCAUAUUGGAUGUGAGGAUGUAAUAUCUCAGUGAGGGAGUCUGGAAAAUAUGCUUUGAAGUGGGAAAAGCUUUUCUUUAAAGCUUGGUCCUAAGCCUAGGCAUUAAAUCUCCUACAGUGAUUGUUGGGCUACCUUUGAAUAACAUUAAGGUUUUAAAUCGUACAAACAGCUUGUGGAUGCUGUUCCCUCCACUUGGCACAGACAAAGUUAUGUUUCAGUUUACAGUAAACUGGGGAGCAGCUGCUGAUUUCCCUGGCUUGGUUAUGUCUUGUCUUGUUCUGUUGUUCUUGCCAUCCCCGAAGAGUUUGCUGCCUGUCAUUAAUUUUCCUUGUUUCAUUUGUUACUUCAUGCAAAAACGUUUCAUGAGCUUUGCACUCCCGUUUAUAAGCACUGUGCACUUGUUAGAUGUGGCAUUCCUUUUCUCUUUUGCUGUGUUAUUAUACCGGACCAGUCUUGCUGCAGCAUACCUUUUCCUGUCUCGUUUCCUUUAAUCCCUGAAGUGUCAGGAACACACUGCAGGAGAGCACCAGCAGUAAAGGCACUGCGAGUAGCAGCAAGGAAAGGAGUUGGUUAAUAUUCUGGGAAGAAAAUCUCAGUGAGCAGCAGAAAGGGAAACCCAAGAGCAGGUCACCCAGGCUAAUCUCUGUCCUAAGCUCCCAACCUGUUGUUGGUGCAGACUGACUCCUGGCCUUCAGAAGGGAUGGGCAGCAGGAAAUCUCAUGGCUUUAGCUGGAAUUCAAGCUAGCUGCCACUUCUCACUCAUCCCCUUCCUCUUUUAGAAGCCUUUCUGUAAGGAUUCCUGCCUUGUGCAGCUCUUCCCUUUCACUUACCUGCUUUUUGGGGUGCCCAGGGCAAUGUGACCUCACAUUCAUUUGUGAAGCUGCACUGUCUGACGACUGCUGGUCUCUGCUGCCUCCAUCGCCCUCCCUAACAGAGGGUGGAAAUGCCGAAUUAUUUGGAGGAUUUGUAAAACAGAGGUCAAUCAUCUGCAAAAUGCUCUUCCCAGGUGUGCUGACAGGGCCUGCAUGGGCUUUGUGAGCCAUUUGAGCAUAAGAAGGUGUACGGGUAAAUUUCAGAAAACAGA